rnacentral:rRNA from 1 species
GAUGAACGCUGGCGGCGUGCCUAAUACAUGCAAGUCGAGCGAACAGACGAUGAGCUUGCUCCUCUGACGUUAGCGGCUGACGGGUGAGUAACACGUGGAUAGCCAUCUAAUAAUACGGGGGGAAUUUCGGGAAACCGGAUCUAAUACUGCAUAACAUGUUGAACCGCUGGAUUCAACAGUGAAUCAGGGCUUGCCUGUCACUUUUAGAUGAUUCCGCGCCGCAUUAGCUAGUUGGUAAGGUAACGGCUUACCAAGGCAACGAUGCGUAGCCGACCUGAGAGGGUGAUCGGCCACACUGGAACUGAGACACGGUCCAGACUCCUACGGGAGGCAGCAGUAGGGAAUAUUCGGCAAUGGGCGAAAGCCUGACGGAGCCACGCCGCGUGAGUGAAGAAGGUCUUCGGAUCGUAAAACCCUGUUAUUAGGGAAGAACAAAUGUGUAAGUAACUAUGCACGUCUUGACGGUACCUAAUCAGAAAGCAACGGCUAACUACGUG